rnacentral:rRNA from 1 species
GACGAACGCUGGCGGCGUGCCUAAUACAUGCAAGUCGAACGGUCUUUUCUAUGGAAGCUUGCUUCCGCUGAGAAGAUAGUGGCGAACGGGUGAGUAACACGUGGGUAACCUGCCCAUAAGAGGGGGAUAACAUCCGGAAACGGGUGCUAAUACCGCAUAGGUUUCUUGGUCGCAUGAUCGAGAAAGGAAAGACGGCCUUUGUGCUGUCGCUUAUGGAUGGACCCGCGGCGUAUUAGUUAGUUGGUGAGGUAAUGGCUCACCAAGACGAUGAUACGUAGCCGACCUGAGAGGGUGAUCGGCCACAUUGGGACUGAGACACGGUCCAGACUUUUACGGGAGCAGCAGUGGGAAUAUGCACAAUGGAAGAAACUCUGAUGCAGCGACGCCGCGUGAGUGAAGAAGGCCCUUACGGGU